rnacentral:lncRNA from 7 species
AACUCCUUUGCAAGGAAGUGGGUGCAGCUCUAGAUAACCUACUCACAUCCACCCUGGCUCCUCAGGCCAUUCUGCUGGCUGGACAACUGAUGAAAUGAGCAGCAGCCUCAGGACUAAGGGGGAUGUUGGAACCGCUGCCAUUGCCUUUUGGCCUCCAAGACAACCCAUGCUUUGAGCGCAGGAGAGCCGCUUGGGCUCACCCUGGCAGAGGUCACUCUCGUUGGCUCAGUGGCUUACAAUAUGAAGGAGGACUUAAUGACAAGCAAACGAUACAUGGACACGCCUUGUGGAAACUAGGACAUCCAAGUGAAGAUCUUCAGCAAUUGUUUCACUUGACUGAGGAGUCUACUGCACAUUUGCAUUUCAGGUAUUAACUCUUCAAACAUAUGUCUGUAGAAGAAAAUAACAGAUUGGAGGUUUUAAGACGGGGGUUUGGCAAGAAUUGGAAAUGGCCUUAGCACAGGCACCCCUGAAUUCUUCCCUUUCUUCUCUUCAUGGACUGGAGAAGGCCUGCUUUUCUAUUUCUCUGCAUAUGCAAGAAAGAGGUAAUAUUUGCAAAAGAUGCGUAUCUGCUGCAUGCUAGCUUCAUUCUGGGCUUCCUAGUAAAUCAUUUGAGGCUAUAUUAUUUUGGAAUCUUAUUUCAGGUGUCAUCUUUUGAAUUGUUUCAAUGUAUUGUCAACGGUAGCUGAGACAUGUAAAAUCAAAUGUUUCCACAGGAGCAAGUGAGAUCUAGACAAAACGUCUGCCACGUAAUCUCCUUUUAUACUUUCUGUAAUGGUGAAAAAGGGAAUUAUAGCUGACGUUAAUGAUGUAUUAACAAGCUGCCAUUUUAACUCCUUCAGCAGAACUACACUUCCUCACAACUUUGUUCAGUUUCUGUGCUAAGGAAACCUGGACACUGUAGGGUGCCUGAUAUUAGGGUGCCGCACCUCAAAAAAUCCUUUUGCUAUAAAUACAUGUCCAGAUUCCAUCUGCUUUCCUUUAAAGCCUGAUUUUCAACCUGCACUCACAACCCACCCACAGGGUACCUACUGCUCUUAUCUUGAAGGAAAGGAACUGUAGGGCUGUGAUAAUGCUACUUUAGAAAGAGUCCUUUUGCACACAGUACAGUAUAGUGCUGUGCCAUGGCAGCAUAAUUGGGGGAAAAAAACCCUAAGGUCAAACCUGCAGCUUUGGAUGUCUCUUUCUAUCACUGGAUAUCAAGAUGAAGAAUAUGUUAGAUCACACGGUGCCAAAAUCUUACUAAUGUCAUAACAGUGUGAUUAAAAUGUCAAUAUCU